UACGGGGGGGGCAAGCGGUUGUUCGGAAUUACUGGGCGUAAAGGGCCAGUAGGCGGCCAACUAAGUCGGAUGUGAAAUCCCCAGGCCUCAACUUGGGAACUGCAUCCGAUACUGGAUGGCUUGAAUUCGGGAGAGGGAUGCAGAAUUCCAGGUGUAGCGGUGAAAUGCGUAGAUAUCUGGAGGAAUACCGGUGGCGAAGGCGGCAUCCUGGACCGACAUUGACGCUGAACGGCGGAAAGCUAAGGGGACGCGAAACGGGAUU
rnacentral:rRNA from 1 species